rnacentral:rRNA from 1 species
UACAGAGGUCUCAAGCGUUGUUCGGAUUCAUUGGGCGUAAAGGGCGUGUAGGCGGUCGAGUAAGUGGAAUGUGAAAUACUCCGGCUCACCCGGAGCACUGCAUCCCAAACUGCUCGGCUUGAGUAUGGGAGAGGACGAGGGAAUUCCUGGUGUAGCGGUGAAAUGCGUAGAUAUCAGGAGGAACACCGGUGGCGAAAGCGCUCGUCUGGCCCAAUACUGACGCUGAUGCGCGAAAGCUAGGGGAGCAAACGGG